rnacentral:lncRNA from 1 species
UUUCUCAGUCACAAUUGGCUCUCUUUCAAUCCUACACCAUGGCCACGCGCCACCUUCUCAACGUCACGCGCCGCUCUCGAAUCAAUCGUUUUUCCCUUCCACCACCAUGUCUAACACUCUCUUCCCGAUCCACCACCUCCGUAACCACCUCACCACCCUCCUCCCCACCUUCCCCACCUCCCCCAGACUUCAUGAUCUACGAUCGCUUAGCUGAACAAGUCAAAUCAAAGAUCAAACGCCUCGAAGAACCUAACCCUAAGUUCCUCCAGUACAAUUCCCCGCAUCCUACCGCAGCGGAUCACACCUCAAUUCUCUCAUCACCGGAG